UAUACAUUGCCUAUAUUUCCUCCAGUUGUACAGAUGGCCCUUGAUAGAAAGGACAUUGGUUUCAAAUCAAAAGACAAAUCUGCCCUUCGUGCAGCUCUAAUACAGACUCUGUUUGAUGACCUCAGCAAAUAUACGCUGUAUCCAGACCACAUAAUGUACAGUACUGUGCUAAGUACUUUGUGCUGUAAGUACAGAUUUCUAAGGGAUGACAGCCAAAAUGGAUAUGCUACUCUACUUGAAAUACUGAGAAAUAAAUUCAAAAAAGAGAGAAAGACACUUAUUUCAGUGGAGACUGUAGAAGACAUGAAAAAAAAGUUUGGUGCUGUGGGUCGAGGAAGGAAGCGUGCACCAGAGCAACAGCAACCGCUCAUGAAAAAGAGAAGA